CAGAGGGCGAAUCCACUGAAGGGCACAGGGAAGGGAGUCCCGCUGAUGCGAUUGACUGGAAGCGCAGACGAUCAAUUGGGAAGGUGACUGGUUACUCAUAGAGGUGGCAAGUCAGUGUGGGCACUGCAGGGUGCUGUGUAAUAGGUGUGUGAAACAGACCCCGACCAAGAGAUACUGAGGCCCCAGGCCACUUGAAGCAAACCUCCGCCCCCAAGGGCCUCCAUGUUUGAAGCCACACGCUGCCAGACCUGACCAACCCCUCCCAUGCAGAGAGGGCAUGGAGAAAGCAGUAGGAACUACGCCAUUCCCCCCCAAAUUGCACCUCCCCCUCAAACUGUGCCCUAGGCACCUGCAGACCCCUGGUGUAUUCAUUGAAUAUACAGGUUACAUACAGAGAGGCCCUGCUCAGUGCAAUUCACUUUCAGUUACUCACCUUAUGGCCUGAGAACCCCUAAUCUGUGCCUUCCCCCUACAAGACUGGAGGUGUCCAUACACGGUGCAAUCCGAUCAUUUGCCGAGGUUGCCAGAUAAGCGGAUCGCCUCCCGAUAUGCCCACCCACAGUUGGUGAUUUUGGACUAAUUUGCUCAUUUGACACUAGGGCCAAACAAUCAGAUUAAAAUGGCGGGUAUACAGGCCAUUGGAUUUAGGGCCGUAUCAACGAGCCCAUGUGAUCUCCGACAGCAAAAUUAAACCUGCCUGAUCAACAUCUGGCCAAUUUUCGGACAGAUAUCGGUCAGGUAGGCC